rnacentral:rRNA from 1 species
GGAGGAUGCGAGCGUUAUCCGGAUUUAUUGGGUUUAAAGGGUGCGUAGGCGGAAUAUCAAGUCAGCGGUAAAAAUUCGGGGCUCAACCCCGUCGUGCCGUUGAAACUGAUGUUCUUGAGUGGGCGAGAAGUAUGCGGAAUGCGUGGUGUAGCGGUGAAAUGCAUAGAUAUCACGCAGAACUCCGAUUGCGAAGGCAGCAUACCGGCGCCCAACUGACGCUGAAGCAAGAAAGCGUGGGUAUCGAA